GAUGAAGAACGUAGCGAAAUGCGAUACGUAAUGUGAAUUGCAGAAUUCAGUGAAUCAUCGAGUCUUUGAACGCACAUUGCGCCCGCCAGUAUUCUGGCGGGCAUGCCUGUUCGAGCGUCAUUUCAACCAUCAAGCCCCAGGCUUGUGUUGGGGACCUGCGGCUGCCGCAGGCCCUGAAAACCAGUGGCGGGCUCGCUGUCACACCGGGCGUAGUAGAUUUUAUCUCGCUCAGGGCGUGCUGCGGGUUCCGGCCGUUAAAAAGCCUUUUUUACCCAAGGUUGACCUCGGAUCAGGUAGGAAGACCCGCUGAACUUAAGCAUAUCAAUAAGCGGAGGA
rnacentral:misc_RNA from 1 species